rnacentral:rRNA from 1 species
UACGUAGGGGGCAAGCGUUGUCCGGAUUUAUUGGGCGUAAAGAGCGUGUAGGCGGCCAGGUAGGUCAGCUGUGAAAACUCGAGGCUCAACCUCGAGACGUCGAUGGAAACCAUCUGGCUAGAGUCCGGAAGAGGAGAGUGGAAUUCCUGGUGUAGCGGUGAAAUGCGCAGAUAUCAGGAAGAACACCUAUGGCGAAGGCAGCUCUCUGGGACGGUACUGACGCUGAGACGCGAAAGCGUGGGGAGCGAACAGG